GGGCCGGUGGCGCAAUUGGCAGCGCGUCGCAAUGGCAUUGCGAAGGUUGUGGGUUCAAGCCCCAUCCGGUCCA
rnacentral:tRNA from 1 species